UCUGGUUGAUCCUGCCAGAGGUUACUGCUAUCGAGGUUCGACUAAGCCAUGCGAGUCGAAUGUAGCAAUACAUGGCGUACUGCUCAGUAACACGUGGACAACCUACCCUCCGGACGGGUAUAAACCCGGGAAACUGGGUAUAAUCCCCGAUAGAUCUCGGUCGCUGGAAUGCCCCGAGAUCGAAAGCUCCGGCGCCAGAGGAUGGGUCUGCGGCCUAUCAGGUAGUAGUGGGUGUAGCGUACCUACUAGCCUACGACGGGUACGGGUUGUGAGAGCAAGAGCCCGGAGAUGGAUUCUGAGACACGAAUCCAGGCCCUACGGGGUGCAGCAGGCGCGAAAACUUUACAAUGCCGGCAACGGCGAUAAGGGGACCUCGAGUGCCAGGUUACAAAUCUGGCUGUCGUGAUGCCUAAAAAGCAUUGCAUAGCAAGGGCCGGGCAAGACCGGUGCCAGCCGCCGCGGUAACACCGGCGGCUCGAGUGGUAGCCGUUAUUAUUGGGUCUAAAGGGUCUGUAGCCGGCCGGAUAAGUCUCUUGAGAAAUCCAGCAGCUCAACUGUUGGGCUUUCAGGAGAUACUGUUCGGCUCGAGGCCGGGAGAGGUGAGAGGUACUUCAGGGGUAGGGGUGAAAUCUUGUAAUCCUUGAAGGACCACCAGUGGCGAAGGCGUCUCACCAGAACGGACCUGACGGCAAGGGACGAAAGCUAGGGGCACGAACCGGAUUAGAUACCCGGGUAGUCCUAGCCGUAAACGAUACUCGCUAGGUGUCGGCCACGGUGCGACCGUUGUCGGUGCCGUAGGGAAGCCGUGAAGCGAGCCACCUGGGAAGUGC
rnacentral:rRNA from 1 species